CCUGCCUCUGCCCCACCAGUUCUGUUGGCUGGUAUAAUCCAGUGGUGAGUUGAUACUAAACACCAGCUAAGGAAACAGAGUUGUUCUUCAUGUGGGUGACUCUGCUUAAAGCCUAGAAAUAGUC
rfam:Tupaia chinensis contig115293, whole genome shotgun sequence.